UCCCUGGUGGUCCAGUGGCCAAGACUGUGCACUUUCAAGGCAAGAGGCCCAGGGUUCAAUCCCUGGUCAGGGAA
rnacentral:tRNA from 1 species